rnacentral:rRNA from 1 species
GACGAACGCUGGCGGCGUGCCUAACACAUGCAAGUCGAGCGAAUGAAGUUCCUUCGGGAAUGGAUUUAGCGGCGGACGGGUGAGUAACACGUGGGCAACCUGCCUCAUAGAGGGGAAUAGCCUCCCGAAAGGGAGAUUAAUACCGCAUAAGAUUGUAGUACCGCAUGAUACAGCAAUUAAAGGAGCAAUCCGCUAUGAGAUGGGCCCGCGGCGCAUUAGCUAGUUGGUGAGCUAAUGGCUCACCAAGGCGACGAUGCGUAGCCGACCUGAGAGGGUGAUCGGCCACAUUGGGACUGAGACACGGCCCAGACUCCUACGGGAGGCAGCAGUGGGGAAUAUUGCACAAUGGGGGAAACCCUGAUGCAGCAACGCCGCGUGAGUGAUGACGGCCUUCGGGUUGUAAAGCUCUGUCUUCAGGGACGAUAAUGACGGUACCUGAGGAGGAAGCCACGGCUAACUACGUG